GUUUCAGCCGCCGCGGUAAUACGGAGGGUCCAAGCGUUGUCCGGAAUCACUGGGUGUAAAGGGUGCGUAGGCGGAUUUGUAAGUCAGAGGUGAAAGCCCACGGCUUAACCGUGGAACUGCCUUUGAUACUGCAAGUCUUGAGUCCUGGAGGGGCUGGCGGAAUUCGUGGUGUAGCGGUGAAAUGCGUAGAUAUCACGAGGAACACCGGAGGUGUAGACGGCCAGCUGGACAGGUACUGACGCUGAGGCACGAAAGCGUGGGGAGCGAACAGGAUUAGAAACCCGCGUAGUCC
rnacentral:rRNA from 1 species